rnacentral:tRNA from 1 species
GCGGAAGUAGCUCAGUUGAUAGAGCAUUAGCCUUCCAAGCUGAGGGUCGCGGGUUUGAGCCCCGUCUCCGCU